UACGUAGGGGGCAAGCGUUGUCCGGAUUCAUUGGGCGUAAAGAGCGUGUAGGCGGCCAGGUAGGUCGGUUGUGAAAACUGGAGGCUCAACCUUCAGAGGUCGACCGAAACCAUCUGGCUAGAGUCCGGGAGAGGAGAUUGGAAUUCCUGGUGUAGCGGUGGAAUGCGCAGAUAUCAGGAGGAACACCAAUGGCGAAGGCAGAUCUCUGGGCCGUAACUGACGCUGAGGAGCGAAAGCAUGGGGAGCGAACAGG
rnacentral:rRNA from 1 species